rnacentral:lncRNA from 1 species
AUGGGACCCCCUAGAUCACCUAUCCCCUCCUCCUGCAUACCCAAUAGCACCCCAGACUUCUUCCCCCAAUUCUCUGACUUUUUCCUCUUCUGCAUCACCCCCGCUAGACCCUUGUAUUUCCAAUCCAAACCCUUUCCACCCGAACCAAUCCCCAUCUACGUCUUCAGCCUCCUCUACCAUCCCGAUACCCUUUUCCUCACCCCACCACCGUUGGUGGCCCCAGUCCCUUCUAAUCUACUUGUUACCUCUCCCUUACCUCCAGAAACCCCUAUAUCAGACCAAGUUUCUUCUCCCUCGCCUACUACUGUCCCUUUGCCCCCUCCCAACUGGGAGCUGAGUACCCCCAAAGUUAAUACCAAUCCUCCUCCUAACAACCAGCAGCUCCCUAUGACCUACACCUCUAGUCAGGAACAGAAUCUUGGAGAUGGACUCUACUGUCGCACACGAUCUAAGACAACUAAGCUCCUUCCCCUGAGAGAAGUCCCUAUGGGAGGAGUAGCUGGAGGGGUAGGGUUUGUCAAUGCGCCAUUGACAGCUUCAGAAGUCCGGGGAUUUAAGAAAGAGCUAGGGAACCUAGUUGAAGACCCAGUAGGGAUAGCCAACCAGGUAGACCAGUUCCUGGGUCCAAAUACUUACACCUGGGGGGAGUUAAACUCUAUUUUAAACAUCUUAUUUAACCCUGAAGAGGUCGCCAUGAUCCAUACUGCAGGGAUACAAAUCUGGGAAAGGGAGAAUAGAUCGGGACUCCCAGGAGAGUAUAAGCUCCCACAGGUAGAUCCAGGGUGGGAUCCUAACAGGGAGGAGGGAAGGCGGAACAUGAGGGACUGCAGGUCCCUAAUAGUGAAGGGUAUUAAGGAAUCAGUUCCCCCGGGUAAUAACACAAAACUAGCCUUUGAUGGGACCCAGGAGAAGGAUGAGACUCCAGCCACCUGGUUGAAUAGGUUGAGGAGAAACUUUCAACUAUAUUCAUGGAUCCCGACAGUCCUGAGGGCCAGGUACUAUUAA